CCUGUUCUCGGUUACUUGCCCC
rnacentral:miRNA from 1 species